GAUGAACGCUGGCUACAGGCUUAACACAUGCAAGUCGAGGGGAAACGCCGGGGAAGCUUGCUUCCCCGGGCGUCGACCGGCGCACGGGUGAGUAACGCGUAUCCAACCUGCCUCUGACUGAGGGAUAACCCGUCGAAAGUCGGCCUAAUACCUCAUGGCAUCGUCUGCGGGCAUCCAACGACGAUUAAAGAUUUCAUCGGUCAGGGAUGGGGAUGCGUCUGAUUAGCUUGUUGGCGGGGUAACGGCCCACCAAGGCUACGAUCAGUAGGGGUUCUGAGAGGAAGGUCCCCCACAUUGGAACUGAGACACGGUCCAAACUCCUACGGGAGGCAGCAGUGAGGAAUAUUGGGCAAUGGGCGGGAGCCUGAACCAGCCAAGUGGCGUGCAGGAUGACGGCCCUAUGGGUUGUAAACUGCUUUUAGGCGGGGAUAAAGUGAGGGACGUGUCCUUCAUUGCAGGUACCGCAUGAAUAAGGACCGGCUAAUUCCGUG
rnacentral:rRNA from 1 species